rnacentral:rRNA from 1 species
GUGGGGAAUAUUGGGCAAUGGGGGCAACCCUGACCCAGCGACGCCGCGUGAGGGAAGAAGGCCUUAGGGUCGUAAACCUCUGUUGUGUGGGAAGAAGGAAGUGACGGUACCACACGAGGAAGUCCCGGCUAACUACGUGCCAGCAGCCGCGGUAAUACGUAGGGGACGAGCGUUGUCCGGAAUUACUGGGCGUAAAGGGCGCGUAGUCGGUCAUUUAAGUCAGCUGUGAAAUGGUCCGGCUCAACCGGAUCAUGCGGUUGAAACUGGAUGACUGGAGUGCUGGAGAGGCAAGUGGAAUUCCCAGUGUAGCGGUGAAAUGCGUAGAUAUUGGGAAGAACACCGGUGGCGAAGGCGACUUGCUGGCCAGCAACUGACGCUGAGGCGCGAAAGCCAGGGGAGCAAACGGGAUUAGAAACCCCUGUAGUCC